UAAGUACAAGAAGGGAUCGGACUCGGUUUUGGUGGUGAACAAGGAGGAUUAUGAGAAAUGUAACAAGAAGAAGCCGAUCAAGAAGUUUGAGGAUGGUGACUCCGAGUUUCAGUUUGAUCGGUCGGGUCCCUUUUAUUUCAUCAGUGGAAAAGAUGAUUACUGUGAGAAGGGUCAGAAACUUAUCAUUGUGGUGUUGGCUGUGAGGGAGCCUCCUCCAUAUUCUCCAUCGCCACCAAAUCUUCCACCUCCUCCAAAAACUCCUUAUCCACCCCAUCUUCCCCCAAAAGCACCUUCACCUUCAUAUCAUCCACCCCAUCUUCCCCCAAAAGCACCUUCACCCUCAUAUCAUCCACCCCAUCUUCCAUCACCUCCACUUCCUCCAACCACUCCCUCUCCUAUUCCUUCCCCUACCCAUCAACCUCCCUUUGUUCCAAUAACACCAUCGCCAUUUUCUCAAACACCUUAUGUGCCACCACCACCCAAAACUCCAUCUCCUACUUCUCAACCACCGUCCAACACUCCUUCCCCCACCUCACAACCACCUUACAUUUCCACACCACCAUCCACCGCCCCUUCUCCCAUUUCCCAACCUCCCUACAUUCCAAAACCUCCAAACGCUCCUUCUCCAACAUCUCAACCACCCUACCCUAAUGCCCCAACUCCAUAUCCCAAUUCCCCUAUCAUUCAACCCCCAUCAUCAGCAUCAUCUCCAACUUCCUCAUCACCCUAUCCAUCCACCAUCCCUCCAUCAUACCCACCUUCCCCCUUCGCUCCGGCUACUACACCCUCCACUGCUUCACCACCAAUACCGUCUCCGGCAACCGCCACUUCUCCUCCGGCACCACUACCGGCAGCAACAAGCCCAUCGCCGUCGUCUUCGUCGGGAUCGUCCUCGAACGAAACGACGCCGUCCCGGCCAAACGGCGCGUCGUCUAUAUCUGAAUCGCGUUUUGGAGUGUACUCACUAACCAUUCUGGUCGGUGCUGCUCUCAGUACCAUUCUUGGUUAGAAAACCAGACUUGUUUGUUUUUGGAACUUGAAUUUUUAUUUUAUUAUUAUUUUUAUUUGAACAUAUGAGAUAUAUCCAUAUUAAUUUUAUAUUGUAUAAUGAUAAUAAUAUGAAUUCUGUGUAUCUAUGGUUACCAAUGUAGUCAGUUAUGUGAGUGGAAAUACUCUGUUUGAACAUUUUAAUAUAUUAUUGCUUAAUCAAUUUUCGGAAUAAGUUUGAUUCUCCUAAUGAUUUAUAUAAAGUACAAGAUUCGUUUAUUC
rnacentral:lncRNA from 1 species